rnacentral:rRNA from 1 species
UACGUAGGGGGCAAGCGUUGUCCGGAAUCAUUGGGCGUAAAGCGCGUGUAGGCGGCUCGUUAAGUCUGCUGGGAAAGUCCAGGGCUCAACCCUGGGAUGCCGGUGGAUACUGUCGAGCUCGAGUCCGGAAGAGGCGAGUGGAAUUCCUGGUGUAGCGGUGAAAUGCGCGGAUAUCAGGAGGAACACCAAUGGCGGAGGCAGCGCGCUGGGCAGUUGCUGACACUGAGGCGCGACAGCGUGGGGAGCAAACAGG